rnacentral:rRNA from 1 species
AGAACGAACGCUGGCGGCGGGGCUUAGGCAUGCAAGUCGAGCGAGAAAGGGGUAACCCGAGUACAGCGGCGUAAGGGUGAGUAAUAGGUAGUCAACGUACCUUCAAGACGCGAAUAAUUCGCCGAAAGGUGAUGUAAUGCGCGAUGAGACCACGGUCCCUCUGGGGACAGGGGUCAAAGGUCGGGGAUCCUUCGGGACCUGGCGCUUGGGGAGCGGACGACCUCCGAUUAGCUGGAUGGCGGGGUAACGGCCCACAUGGCGAUGAUCGGUAGCCGGCCUGAGAGGGUGUUCGGCCACACUGGGACUGAGACACUGCCCAGACUCCUACGGGAGGCUGCAGUCGCGAAUCAUUCACAAUGGGCGCAAGCCUGAUGAUGCCACGCCGCGUGCGGGAUGAAGGCCCUCUGGGUUGUAAACCGCUGUCAAUGAAGGGGAAACUAUGGAGAUAACAUUUCCAUGCUUGACUGCUUCGUAAAGGAAGCCCCGGACAAAACAUGUAGCC